rnacentral:rRNA from 1 species
CCUACGGGAGGCAGCAGUGAGGAAUAUUGGUCAAUGGACGAAAGUCUGAACCAGCCAUGCCGCGUGCAGGAAGACUGCCCUACGGGUUGUAAACUGCUUUUAUAUAGGAAUAAACCCUCGUUCGUGAACGAGGCUGAAGGUACUAUAAGAAUAAGGACCGGCUAACUCCGUGCCAGCAGCCGCGGUAAUACGGAGGGUCCAAGCGUUAUCCGGAUUUAUUGGGUUUAAAGGGUCCGCAGGCGGGAGAAUAAGUCAGUGGUGAAAUCCUGUCGCUUAACGAUAGAACUGCCAUUGAUACUGUUUUUCUUGAGUAUAGAUGAAGUGGGCGGAAUGUGUCAUGUAGCGGUGAAAUGCAUAGAUAUGACACAGAACACCGAUUGCGAAGGCAGCUCACUAAACUAUAACUGACGCUCAUGGACGAAAGCGUGGGGAGCGAACAGGAUUAGAUACCCUGGUAGUCCACGCUGUAAACGAUGAUUACUCGGUGUUAACGAUAUACGGUUAGUGCCUAAGCGAAAGUGAUAAGUA